GACGAACGCUGGCGGCGUGCCUAAUACAUGCAAGUAGAACGCACAGUUUAUACCGUAGCUUGCUACACCAUAGACUGCGAGUUGCGAACGGGUGAGUAACGCGUAGGUAACCUGCCUGGUAGCGGGGGAUAACUAUUGGAAACGAUAGCUAAUACCGCAUAAUAUUAAUUAUUGCAUGAUAAUUAAUUGAAAGGUGCAAUUGCACCACUACCAGAUGGACUUGCGUUGUAUUAGCUAGUAGGUGAGGUAACGGCUCACCUAGGCGACGAUACAUAGCCGACCUGAGAGGGUGAUCGGCCACACUGGGACUGAGACACGGCCCAGACUCCUACGGGAGGCAGCAGUAGGGAAUCUUCGGCAAUGGACGAAAGUCUGACCGAGCAACGCCGCGUGAGUGAAGAAGGUUUUCGGAUCGUAAAGCUCUGUUGUAAGAGAAGAACGGGUGUGAGAGUGGAAAGUUCACACUGUGACGGUAUCUUACCAGAAAGAGACGGCUAACUACGUG
rnacentral:rRNA from 1 species